AUUGAACGCUGGCGGCAGGCCUAACACAUGCAAGUCGAGCGGAUGAAGGGAGCUUGCUCCUGGAUUCAGCGGCGGACGGGUGAGUAAUGCCUAGGAAUCUGCCUGGUAGUGGGGGAUAACGUCCGGAAACGGGCGCUAAUACCGCAUACGUCCUGAGGGAGAAAGUGGGGGAUCUUCGGACCUCACGCUAUCAGAUGAGCCUAGGUCGGAUUAGCUAGUUGGUGGGGUAAAGGCCUACCAAGGCGACGAUCCGUAACUGGUCUGAGAGGAUGAUCAGUCACACUGGAACUGAGACACGGUCCAGACUCCUACGGGAGGCAGCAGUGGGGAAUAUUGGACAAUGGGCGAAAGCCUGAUCCAGCCAUGCUGCGUGUGUGUAGAAGGUCUUCGGAUUGUAAAGCACUUUAAGUUGGGAGGAAGGGCAGUAAGUUAAUACCUUGCUGUUUUGACGUUACCAACAGAAUAAGCACCGGCUAACUUCGUG
rnacentral:rRNA from 1 species